UAUUUAAAGAUAUUUAUUAAUCACCUUGACACCUUCAACGUCAUGCUCUAUACUUUAAGCUAUUUAAAC
rnacentral:tRNA from 1 species